AUUGAACGCUGGCGGCAGGCCUAACACAUGCAAGUCGAGCGGAUGAAGGGAGCUUGCUCCUGGAUUCAGCGGCGGACGGGUGGGUAAUGCCUAGGAAUCUGCCUUGUAGUUGGGGAUAACGUCCGUAAACGGGCGCUAAUACCGCAUACGUCCUGAUGGUGAAAGUGGGGGAUCUUCGGACCACACGCUAUCUGAUGAGCCUAGGUCGGAUUAGCUAGUUGGUGGGGUAAAGGCCUACCAAGGCGACGAUCCGUAACUGGUCUGAGAGGAUGAUCAGUCACACUGGAACUGAGACACGGUCCAGACUCCUACGGGAGGCAGCAGUGGGGAAUCUUGCGCAAUGGGCGAAAGCCUGACCCAGCCACGCCGCGUGUGUGAAGAAGGUCUUCGGAUUGUAAAGCACUUUUAGUUGGGAGGAAGGGCAGUAAGUUAAUACCUUGCUGUUUUGACGGUACCAACAGAAUAAGCACCGGCUAACUUCGUG
rnacentral:rRNA from 1 species